GAUUCCCCUAGUAACGGCGAGCGAACAGGGAAGAGCUCAAAUUUGAAAUCUGGCGUCCUCCGGGCGUCCGAGUUGUAAUCUAUAGAGACGUUUUCCGCGCCGGACCGUGUCCAAGUUCCUUGGAACAGGAUAUCAAAGAGGGUGACAAUCCCGUACUUGACACGACGACCGGUGCUCUGUGAUACGUUUUCUACGAGUCGAGUUGUUUGGGAAUGCAGCUCAAAAUGGGUGGUGAGUUCCAUCUAAAGCUAAAUAUUGGCGAGAGACCGAUAGCGAACAAGUACCGUGAGGGAAAGAUGAAAAGCACUUUGGAAAGAGAGUUAAACAGUACGUGAAAUUGUUAAAAGGGAAACGAUUGAAGUCAGUCGUGUCUGGGAGGCUCAGCCGGUUCUGCCGGUGUAUUCCUCUCAGACGGGUCAACAUCAGUUUUGUCCGACGGAUAAUGGCGGCGGGAAAGUAGCACCUCCGGGUGUGUUAUAGCCCGCUGUCGCAUACGCCGGAUGAGACUGAGGCAUGCAGCUCGCCUUUAUGGCAGGGGUUCGCCCACUUUCGAGCUUAGGAUGUUGACGUAAUGGCUUUAAACGACCC
rnacentral:rRNA from 1 species